CUCUGUCUUGUCUCCUCUUUUAUACAGACACUACUCAUAUUGGAUUUGGACCCACCCUACUUCAAAGUGACCUCAUGUGAACUUAAUUGAUAACAUUUUCAAAGACCUUAUUUCCAAACGAGGCCUUGCUCUAAGGCACCAGGGGUUAGGACUGCAACAUAUCUUUUUGAUGGAAACAACUCAGUCCAUAACAAGUGCCUGGUUUGUGAGUGAAUGAAUGAAUGAAAUCUGUGUAUCAUUGCUUCCCUUACCUCAUCUGACCCCUUUCCCUUUUCCUAUGCCUCUGAUACUCAGAAAGGACAUCAGGAGUCCUGUUCCCAGCAGGCUGACCUUCACCAGAGACCUGAGGCUGUGACUCCCAGGGGUCUGACCAGGUGGUACCUGCUUCCCCAGAACAGACCCUUGUGCACAAGACCAGGAAGCACGAUUUGGGAGCUCUCACCCUUCCUUGAUGCCUUACUUAGGACAGGCUCCUGCCUCUUCCUCCUUUCUAUCUCUCCAUAUUUCUCUCUCUCUCAGGGUUCAUCUGUGACCUGCAGAAAUGGAAUGGGAUAAUGUUAAACAAUCAGUCUCAGCUGACGUCCAUGAGUGUGAAGUUCCUCUUCUGGGUUUGUUUGUUGCUUUACAUUUUAUUACCACUGUCUUCCUGCCCAGGCUUCCUCUGCCUUCCUGCAUCUGCAGCUUUCCUUUCCCUUUCAGAGGGAUUCUGGAAGGCAGAAAGUCUUAGGCAAGGGCCAGAGAUGCUGCUGCCACCACCACUUCUACCCCUGCUGUAGGGAGCCCUGACUCAAUCACCCAACGUCCAGAUCCCAGGAACCCUGGAGUCUGGCUGCCCCAGGAACCUUACCUGCACUGUGCCCUUGGCCUGUGAGCAGGGGACACCUCUUUGGGCCACAGGACCCACCUCUCCUCAGUGUUCACCCUCUCUCCAAGGCCACAGGACCAUGGCACCAGCCUAACCUGUCAGGUGACCUUCCUUGAAGUUGGUGUGACUGUAAAGAGGACCAUCCAGCUCAAUGUCUCCUGGCUCCAACUUGUGCUUGCAUCCAAAUACCCCACGGUUUGACCACCAAUAUUUCCUCUACCUGGCCAGAGAAUGAGGUGCAAACUCCACAGCCUGGACUUAAGGCCUUGCAUCGCCUGCCCCUGCUGGACCCUCUGGCCAGAUUUCUUCCGCCUACCCGGACAUCACACAUCAUCUCACCACACCAAAUCCAGCCAGGACUUCUUGUGACUUCAUGGCUUUGCAUGUAGAGUUCUUUCUCCCAAAAUGCCCUUCCAUCCCCAUUCUGCUUUCCCAAGGCUCUCUCAUCUUUUAAUCUCAGUCUUAAAUAUCAACCAGGUGGAUGUGUGUGUCUCUGUGUGUGUAAUACUCACUGUGUGGGUUUGAGAAGAGGAGUGACAUUCAUUCAUUUAUUCACAGACACCUUCACCAAGUAUUACUGAACAUCACUAUGUGCUGGGCAUUGUUGCAUGUGCAAAGGGUGACACAGAGAACAUGACCCCAAAAACCUUUGUUCUUAAGGAGCUAUUGUUCUAGAAACAAGAAGAAUAGAAAUAGAAAGAAACAGACAUUAAGUAAAAUUGAGUGUGCUGGAUGGUCCUUGGAGAAAAACGAUGCAGGGAAAAAAGUAUAAGACAAAUUGGGGUGAAUUUCCACAUUUGAUAGUGUGAGGAGGUGAUGUUUGUGCAAAGACCUGAGGACAGAGAGAAAGCCCAUUCUAUGUUCACCUAAGAGCAAAAGAUUCCAGAAGAGGGAAAAGAGGGAACCCUGAGUGCAAUGGCCCUGAGGCAGAGGGAGGCCUGGUGUGCUGUGGAAAUGACGAGGAGGCUAGUGUUUGAAGCAGAGGGAGGCAGAGGAGGAAAGAGAACCUAGAGGGAUGGUACAGACCUUGAGGUGCCUUGCAGGUCAAUGGAAGAAUCUAAAAACCUUUGAGAGGAUGGGAGACAUGAUAGGACUUUCAUGUUGGCAGGAUCCCCAUGGCUGCUGUGUUAAGGAAAGACCAAAGUGGGACCAAACCAAAAAAAAUUUAACCAGUUGCAGUUGAGUUCACUCCAACUCAUAGUGACCCCACGUGUGACAGAGUAGAAUUGUGCUCCAUUAGGUUUUCAGUGGCUGAUAUUUCAAAAGUAGAUAGCCAGGUCUUUCUUUCAAGGAGCUUCUGGGUGCAUUCCAACCUCCAACCUUUUGGUCAGCUGCCAAACUCUUAACCAUUUGUACCAUCCAGGGACUCCUGGAGUGUGAGCAGGACAACAAAAAAGAGAUCGGCAAGGUGCUACCGGAUGCUCGAGGCAGGAUCCUGGAGAUUAGGGUUUGAACCUGGGAGAUAAUGCUGGUGGUGAUGAUACACGUUUGGAUGUACUUUGAAGAUCAAGCUAGCAUGAUUUUCUAAUGCAUGUGAGGACUGAGGGAAAGAGAAGAGCAAGGAUGACACCAAAAUAUUCUCUGAGAAACUGAAAGAAAGAAGGUAUGUUACGUAGAGGAAUCCAAGAGCAGCAUUUUGUUAAUUCCAAGGGGCUGCUUGAUCUCCCAGUGGGAUGUCAGGUGGAUGUUGGAUUUAAAUGCCUGAAGGUCAAGAGAGGAGUUCAGGCUGGUGAUGUUAAUAUGCGUAAAUAGAUGUAAAAAUGUGGAAACAGGUAGUCGUGAUUGUCGUACAACAUGAUGAGCAUAAUUAAUUUCACUGAAUUACACAUGUAAAAAAUGUUCAAAUGGCAACUGUUUUAUUAUAUAUGCAUACCUACCACAAUAAACACGCAUGCAAUGUUGAGCCAAAAAAGCAUGUUGAAAAGUAAAACACAAAUAACGUGUAUAACUAGUAUGACGUGCGGACGACAGAUGAGAUGAAAAGGGGCUGACUGUACAGCCAGAAUAGAGGGGCCCAGGAUGGUGCCAAUGAGGAAGAAUCAGCAAAGUGUGCUGUCCAGGGUGCCAGUGAGGCAGAUGCUUCAGAAGAGAGUGAGCACUGUAUCAGGUGGAUCUGGUAGAGUGAGGGCUGAGAAAUGGCCAUUUAAAUCUAGAAACACUUUGUCAUGGUGAUUUUGACAACUGUGGUUUCAGUGGACUGGUGGGAAGGAGGUGCAGACAUGACUGGAGAAGUUCAGAAGAGAACUGGAGGAUUGGCUUGGGAGAGUGAGAAUAAGCAACACUUUGAGGAAUUGUGCUGUAAAAAGGGUACAGAGAAAUGGGCCAUAUCUGGAGGAGCUCAGUGGAAACUUCGCCAGCUCCCUCCCAGGCAUGUUGGUCUCUCCCCUUAAUCCCAUGGAUGUCCCAGUACUGUGGGGUCCUGUGUCCAUUUCCCUAAAUCACCAGGGUCUCCUGGAGAGGAGAAGUGGAUCUGAUUGGGUUCCUGAUAUUCCUUUUUACUGUAUCCUGUUCAUUUCCAUCAUAGAAUAGUUCACAUUUAGGUAUUUGUCUAUUUUUUAUUUGUUUUCCUCUUCCUGUAUUAGGAAUUAAGCUGGAUGAGGUCAGGGCUCACGUCUACUUUGUGCACCACUCUGUGUCCAGUGCUACCCCAGGGCCUGGCCCUUACGAGGCUGUCUGUAAGGUAUAGGGCUUUCUUCCUCCAAGACGCAAUAAUGGAUCCUGAAUCUAUAAUUUCUGCAUAUGUGAACUUAGCAAUUUACCUGAUACCUCUCUGCCUUAAUUUCCUUUUCCAUAAAAUGGAGAAAGUAAUAGUAUCUUUAUCACAGGAUUAUUGAAAAGAAGCAAUGAGAUUAGGCAUCAUCUGUAUUGGUUUCCACUUGCUGGUGUAACAAAAGACCACAAACUCAGUGGCUUAACACAAUACAAAAUUAGUAUUUUGCAGUUCUGGAUUUCAGAAGUCUGAAACGGGUGUUACUGGGCAAAAAUCAAGCUGUCAGCAGGGCUGCAUUCCUCUCGGUGCUCUUGCUUUUUCAGGUCUUGGAAGGCACCUGUAUUCCAUGGCUCCUCGUCCCCUCCAUCUUCAAAGACAACAAUCACAUCACUCCUACCUCUGCUUCCAUCUUCACAGCUCCUUCUGUGACCCAUAUGAUCCUGCCUCCCUCAUUCACUUAUAGGACCCUUGUGAUUACACUGGAUUCACCCAGUUAAUCCUGGAAAAUCUCCCAAUCUUGAGAUCCUUAACUUAAUCACACCUACAAAGCUCUUUUUGUCAUGUGAGGUAACAUAUUCAUAGGUUCUGAAGAUGAGGAAGUAGACAUCUUUGUGGGCCAUUAUUCUGCCUAUCACGUCACCCAAUAAGUGUUA